GAGGGGUACAGGAGUAGCAAUAUCGCUGAGACCGGCGCACGGGUGAGUAACGCGUAUGAACCUACCUUUAACUGGGGCAUAGCUCCGAGAAAUCGGGAUAAUACCCCAUAAUGUUACAAUUUCGCAUGUUAUUGUAACUAAAACUCCGGUGGUUAAAGAUGGGCAUGCGUGUCAUUAGCUUGUUGGUGAGGUAACGGCUCACCAAGGCUACGAUGACUAGGGGGUCUGAGAGGAUGAUCCCCCACACUGGUACUGAGACACGGACCAGACUCCUACGGGAGGCAGCAGUGAGGAAUAUUGGUCAAUGGGCGAAAGCCUGAACCAGCCAUGCCGCGUGCAGGAUGACAGCCCUAUGGGUCGUAAACUGCUUUUAUACGGGAAGAAACCCCUGAUCGUGAUCGGGGCUGACGGUACCGUAAGAAUAAGGAUCGGCUAACUCCGUGCCAGCAGCCGCGGUAAUACGGAGGAUCCUAGCGUUAUCCGGAUUUAUUGGGUUUAAAGGGUGCGUAGGCGGAAUAAUAAGUCAGUGGUGAAAUCCUGCAGCUUAACUGUAGAAUUGCCAUUGAUACUGUUAUUCUUGAAUGCAGUUGAGGUAGGCGGAAUGUGUAAUGUAGCGGUGAAAUGCUUAGAUAUUACCCAGAACACCGAUUGCGUAGGCAGCUUGCUAAACUGUGAUUGACGCUGAGGCACGAAAGCGUGGGUAGCAAACAGGAUUAGAUACCCUGGUAGUCCACGCCGUAAACGAUGAUUACUCGAUGUGUGCAAUAUUUCGUACGCGUCUGAGCGACAGGAUUAAGUAAUCCACCUGGGGAGUACGGCCGCAAGGUUGACACUCAAAGGAAUUGACG
rnacentral:rRNA from 1 species